rnacentral:misc_RNA from 1 species
GGUAUUCAUUUCUGCAAUUGAAAUAUAUAAAUAUUAUCACAGGUACGAGGACAAGACCGAAUGGGGUGAUCGCGUGGGAUGGAUUUAUGGUUCAGUUACAGAAGAUGUGGUGACAGGUUACCGUAUGCACAACCGCGGAUGGCACUCAGUUUACUGUGUGACCAAGCGAGAUGCAUUUCGUGGAUCAGCUCCGAUUAACCUCACUGAUCGACUCCAUCAGGUGCUUCGUUGGGCUACAGGCUCUGUUGAGAUUUUCUUCUCCAGAAACAAUGCCUUUCUCGCCUCGGGGAAGCUCAAAAUACUUCAGCGCCUUGCCUAUCUUAAUGUCGGCAUCUACCCAUUCACUUCUAUAUUCCUGAUCGUCUAUUGUUUCCUGCCUGCGCUCUCCCUUUUCUCAGGAUUCUUCAUUGUGCAACACCUUAGCAUUGCAUUUUUAGCCUACCUCCUAACUAUAACUAUUUGCCUUAUCAUGCUUGCAAUCCUCGAGCUGAGAUGGUCUGGCAUAGCAUUGGAAGAGUGGUGGAGGAACGAACAAUUCUGGCUUAUCUCCGGAACAAGUGCUCACUUCGCCGCUGUUGUGCAGGGCCUUCUCAAGGUGAUUGCAGGGAUUGAAAUUUCUUUCACAUUGACUUCCAAGUCUGCAGGAGAUGACAAUGACGACAUUUAUGCAGAAUUGUAUUUGGUAAAGUGGACUUCAUUGAUGAUUCCACCAAUUGUCAUUGCAAUGACCAACAUAAUUGCCAUUGGCUUUGCAUUUAUAAGGACCAUUUACAGCACAACUCCACAAUGGAGCAAGUUCAUCGGUGGAGCUUUCUUUAGCUUCUGGGUGUUGGCUCAUCUGUAUCCUUUUGCUAAAGGUUUGAUGGGAAGGAGGGGGAAGACACCCACGAUUGUGAUUGUUUGGUCUGGUCUCAUUGCAAUCACACUCUCUUUGCUUUGGAUGGCCAUUAGCCCCCCAACGGCCACCGCUACCACAGCUGACGGUAGUGCGGGAGGGUUUCAGUUUCCAUGAGCACAAAACAUCAAAGGCUGGAUUUGAAGAGUAAACAAAACAAACUGAAUCAUGGAACUGAAAGAGUCCUAGUACAUUCAACUGUAGAAUUGAAGAAAUCAUGAAUGCGAAGUCUAAGAAACAGGCUGUACAAGAAAUUUGUGCAAUUAUUGUUCUUCCUUUCCUUUAGCUUUCUAAUGUGUUGUAAACUACAAAAGCCGAAAAGAGUAAAAAACAGG